CUGAGGCCAAUCAGAAAAGGCUUUUAUUAAUCAAAAGUAAGCAUUCAUUCCUUAGGCACACUAGCCACAUUUCAAAUGCUAAAUAACCACAUGUGGCCAGUGGCUGCUCUGGGGGACAGCACCAAUGCAGAACAUGCCUAAGGUUGACAAAAGCUUGAUUGGACAGCAAUACUGUGGGUACUCAGCAAAAAAAAAAAAAAAAAGAAGACCCCAAUCCCCACUCUGCCUCCUCCCUUCCACCUCAUUGUGAUCAGCUAUCCUUGAAUGUGAGCGAGACUCCAAAUCUUGGGGAAGGAACUUUGGAAGAGAUGGUUCAGAGGUUUCUUACCAACUGGGGCCCAUAAAGAGCGGAGCUGUGCAUGGACAGGGACUGCUGGGGAAAGGGGAACCUAAGAAAGGCUGACUUCCACAUCUGCUCCUUUUUCCUACCUAUGCCAGACCCCAGGCGCUUAGCCUCUUCCUUGGGAUCUUGGCAAAAAGCAAAGUACAAUCCUUUGAAUUGGGUCUUGGCCAAACAUUCCAGUUUGCUGGAAGCUGGCAGUAGCCAGGGAGCAGAACUUCUGCCUGAGCAACAUCUAGUCUGAGGUCUGAAUAUCACCAAGUUCAGACUUCAGGUUCACCGGCUAUGUGCCCAGCACUGUUCUGGGCUUUGGAGAGAGGGACAGUGAACCAGAGCUCAGCCCACCUUUGCCCAAGCUCAAUCUGUGCCUCUCGGGGACUCUUCCCUUCCUUUGUACCAAGGCUGAAACAGCAUACACACAUUUGUUAAUAUCCUACUGACAGACAACACAGUUCUAGGUGCCUGGGCAUAUAGUAUAGCAGGGAACUAAACAAAUUUUUCUUCCCGCAGUUCAGAUUCCCUCACCACCUUUCUGAUUCUAAGGUUUCCACUACACUUCACUGAAGGUUAGUCCUCAAGCACCAGCCUGGCUCUUUGGUUUUAUCUAAUCAGGGUAACUCCAAGCCUAAGGCUAAGAACUGAGAAAGGUAAUGGUCAGGGUGCCUAUUCUCAGAGGCGCUUACAACCUAGUGAGGGAGACACAAAACUGUGCAAAGAUGUGUGUGUGUGUGUGUGUGUGUGUGCCUAU
rnacentral:lncRNA from 1 species